GAGAAACAACAAGGCAAGGAAGGCAUAAAGGGCACACCCCACUAUGGGCUGUAGUCAAUUGAUGAUGCCUCCCAUUCAUAUAGGAUGGGAUUGAAAUGUGCUAAAGUAUAAAUAUUGGUGUUAUAUUAGUAUUACAUAAAACUUUUGCAGGUAAGGAGCAUCUGGUCAAAAUGUCACCUCACCAGUACUGAACAUUAGAAAAUGGCUGGAAAAAAAAUCUCCAAAUCCAACAUUUCACAAUUAGCACCCUAUGAUGCUAAGUGCUAAGUACACAAGUCUCUUGAAAGCAUGUGGUGUUAGACACUAGUAAAAUCAGUAUAGUGCCAUAAAUGAAAGGAGGCUAUGGAACUCACAGUAUUGAUAACAUCAAUGGAAAUUUUCAUAAGAUUCAACUUCAUUUUCAGCAAGGAGCCUAGGCUUCUGGUUUACAGAAGGCAUAUGAUUCUUGGCUCCAAAGAAUGAGAAAACAUCUGAUCAUUUUGCUGCCAAAAACAUCACACAAUAGAUCAAGCUGGUGUUGGUACCUUGCCUUCUUCAACUUGAGAAGGUCUGAAAUUGAACACUCCAGCUAGUCCUCGUCCCCUUGCCAACUGUUCAAGCUCUUGAAUUUUGCUUUUCAGGCUCUCCACCUCUCGUGACAAUGCAUCAUCUCUUUCCCUCAUUUGCUCCAGCUCUUGCCUGCGAAGUUCCUCCUUUUUGGCUUCUGACCGAGAACUUCUUUGCACCUCAAAGUAAAGUGCAGCAACUGCAACCGAAAAGACAAAAGCCUCCCCCAGAAGAUCAACAGCAGCUUGAACAGCUUUUUCUUCAUCCAAAGGCCGUAUCUCUACAUUGGUUGCAUGACCAUAUAACCGCCUCUGCAUUGUUGUUGUGAUCCGGUGGUUUGCCUGGGCCAUGCUAACAAUGAAAUUACGGAACUUGGGGUGCAAUCCAGCUUGUUUCUUGAGCCUACUGCCAAUGGGUUUACUGAGAGUUUUCAAUGCAAGUGUCCCAAGCUUCAACAGUGGGAGGACCAUUACUUCUCGAUCUGGGUAAAUUCUAAAAGGAAAUCAAAUCAAGGAUUGUAUAUGCAAAGACGCUCCAUGUGUGUAGUUAUAUAUGUAAGGAUUCAUCAAAUUGUCAGUUGAC
rnacentral:misc_RNA from 1 species